ensembl:antisense 1810041H14Rik RIKEN cDNA 1810041H14 gene
AGACACUCCUGGAGAGUGCAGCGGCAUCCAGAAGCAAAGCUUGCAUUCUCUUGCCAAGUGACUUCCUAACUUCACUGAAAAGCGCUCACUUUUUCAGCUCGCAAAAACUCUUCAAGGACAACGGGUAAGAUGUACGUGGAAGUUAAAAUUGAGGGGGCAGAUUCUGGAGCGGAGGAUGAAAUUCACACGUUCCAGGAAUCAGUAUCGUUGUGAACAUCAGGGCAGCAGUUCUGGUCACCUGGAUUUAUAAACACCAAGAAGUAGCAACAGCCAGUGUGCAAGUCACUGACAACCCAAGUCAUCAAAACUCUUACUGAGAACCCAUUAGCUCCUUGAAUUAAAGAUUAUUUUGUGAAAA